UGGGCCCGCGUCUCAUUAGCUAGUUGGUGGGGUAAUGGCCUACCAAGGCGACGAUGGUUAGCUGGUCUGAGAGGAUGAUCAGCCACACUGGAACUGGAACACGGUCCAGACUCCUACGGGAGGCAGCAGUGAGGAAUUUUGCGCAAUGGGGGAAACCCUGACGCAGCAACGCCGCGUGAGCGAAGAAGGCCUUCGGGUCGUAAAGCUCUGUCAAGUGGGAAAAAAAUCUUUUGAUCAAUAGUCAAAAGACUUGAUGGUACCACUGGAGGAAGCACCGGCUAACUCCGUGCCAGCAGCCGCGGUAAUACGGAGGGUGCAAGCGUUAUCCGGAAUUACUGGGUGUAAAGGGUGCGUAGGCGGUUUGCUAAGUCAGAUGUGAAAGCCCGGGGCUCAACUCCGGGACUGCAUUUGAAACUGGCAAACUAGAAUACAGGAGAGGUAAGUGGAAUUCCUAGUGUAGCGGUGAAAUGCGUAGAUAUUAGGAGGAACACCAGUGGCGAAGGCGACUUACUGGACUGUUAUUGACGCUGAGGCACGAAAGCGUGGGGAGCGAACGGGAUUAGAUACCCUGGUAGUCCACGCCGUAAACGAUGGACGCUAGGUG
rnacentral:rRNA from 1 species